rnacentral:rRNA from 1 species
AGCCGGUGGCCUAACCCCUUGUGGGAGGGAGCCGUCGAAGGUGGGAUCGGCGAUUGGGACGAAGUCGUAACAAGGUAGCCGUACCGGAAGGUGCGGCUGGAUCACCUCCUUU